UACGGAGGGUGCGAGCGUUGUCCGGAAUCAUUGGGCGUAAAGGGCGCGUAGGUGGCCCGGUCAGUCUUUGGUGAAAGCGCGGGGCUCAACCCUGCGUCGGCCAGGGAUACUGCCGCGGCUCGAGCACUGGUAGAGGCAGGCGGAAUUCCGGGUGUAGCGGUGGAAUGCGUAGAGAUCCGGAAGAACACCGGUGGCGAAGGCGGCCUGCUGGGCAGUUUAGCUGACACUGAGGCGCGACAGCGUGGGGAGCAAACAGG
rnacentral:rRNA from 1 species